UUAUCCGGAUUUACUGGGUGUAAAGGGAGCGUAGACGGCAAGGCAAGUCUGAAGUGAAAGCCCGGUGCUUAACGCCGGGACUGCUUUGGAAACUGUUUGGCUGGAGUGCCGGAGAGGUAAGCGGAAUUCCUAGUGUAGCGGUGAAAUGCGUAGAUAUUAGGAAGAACACCAGUGGCGAAGGCGGCUUACUGGACGGUAACUGACGUUGAGGCUCGAAAGCGUGGGGAGCAAACAGGAUUAGAUACCCUGGUAGUCCACGCCGUAAACGAUGAUUGCUAGGUGUAGGUGGUAUAGCCAUUCGGUGCCGCAGCUAACGCAAUAAGCAGUCCACCUGGGGAGUACGUUCGCAAGAAUGAAACUCAA
rnacentral:rRNA from 1 species